GAUGAACGCUGGCGGCGUGCCUAAUACAUGCAAGUCGAGCGAACGGACGAGAAGCUUGCUUCUCUGAUGUUAGCGGCGGACGGGUGAGUAACACGUGGAUAACCUACCUAUAAGACUGGGAUAACUUCGGGAAACCGGAGCUAAUACCGGAUAAUAUGUUGAACCGCAUGGUUCAAUAGUGAAAGACAGUUUUGCUGUCACUUAUAGAUGGAUCCGCGCCGCAUUAGCUAGUUGGUAAGGUAACGGCUUACCAAGGCGACGAUGCGUAGCCGACCUGAGAGGGUGAUCGGCCACACUGGAACUGAGACACGGUCCAGACUCCUACGGGAGGCAGCAGUAGGGAAUCUUCCGCAAUGGGCGAAAGCCUGACGGAGCAACGCCGCGUGAGUGAUGAAGGUCUUCGGAUCGUAAAACUCUGUUAUUAGGGAAGAACAAAUGUGUAAGUAACUAUGCACGUCUUGACGGUACCUAAUCAGAAAGCCACGGCUAACUACGUGCCAGCAGCCGCGGUAAUACGUAGGUGGCAAGCGUUAUCCGGAAUUAUUGGGCGUAAAGCGCGCGUAGGCGGUUUUUUAAGUCUGAUGUGAAAGCCCACGGCUCAACCGUGGAGGGUCAUUGGAAACUGGAAAACUUGAGUGCAGAAGAGGAAAGUGGAAUUCCAUGUGUAGCGGUGAAAUGCGCAGAGAUAUGGAGGAACACCAGUGGCGAAGGCGACUUUCUGGUCUGUAACUGACGCUGAUGUGCGAAAGCGUGGGGAUCAAACAGGAUUAGAUACCCUGGUAGUCCACGCCGUAAACGAUGAGUGCUAAGUGUUAGGGGGUUUCCGCCCCUUAGUGCUGCAGCUAACGCAUUAAGCACUCCGCCUGGGGAGUACGACCGCAAGGUUGAAACUCAAAGGAAUUGACGGGGACCCGCACAAGCGGUGGAGCAUGUGGUUUAAUUCGAAGCAACGCGAAGAACCUUACCAAAUCUUGACAUCCUCUGACCCCUCUAGAGAUAGAGUUUUCCCCUUCGGGGGACAGAGUGACAGGUGGUGCAUGGUUGUCGUCAGCUCGUGUCGUGAGAUGUUGGGUUAAGUCCCGCAACGAGCGCAACCCUUAAGCUUAGUUGCCAUCAUUAAGUUGGGCACUCUAAGUUGACUGCCGGUGACAAACCGGAGGAAGGUGGGGAUGACGUCAAAUCAUCAUGCCCCUUAUGAUUUGGGCUACACACGUGCUACAAUGGACAAUACAAAGGGCAGCGAAACCGCGAGGUCAAGCAAAUCCCAUAAAGUUGUUCUCAGUUCGGAUUGUAGUCUGCAACUCGACUAUAUGAAGCUGGAAUCGCUAGUAAUCGUAGAUCAGCAUGCUACGGUGAAUACGUUCCCGGGUCU
rnacentral:rRNA from 1 species